ACGCUGGCUACAGGCUUAACACAUGCAAGUCGAGGGGAAACGGCGUUGAGUGCUCGCACUCUUCGGACGUCGACCGGCGCACGGGUGAGUAACGCGUAUCCAACCUUCCCGUCACUGCGGGAUAACCUGCCGAAAGGCAGACUAAUACCGCAUGGCCUUCACUGACGGCAUCCGAGGUGAAGUAAAGCUUUUUUGCGGUGACGGACGGGGAUGCGUCUGAUUAGCUGGUUGGCGGGGCGACGGCCCACCAAGGCGACGAUCAGUAGGGGUUCUGAGAGGAAGGUCCCCCACAUUGGAACUGAGACACGGUCCAAACUCCUACGGGAGGCAGCAGUGAGGAAUAUUGGUCAAUGGGCGGAAGCCUGAACCAGCCAAGUAGCGUGCAGGAGGACGGCCCUACGGGUUGUAAACUGCUUUUAUGCGGGGAUAAAGUGAGGGACGCGUCCCUUUUUGCAGGUACCGCAUGAAUAAGGACCGGCUAAUUCCGUGCCAGCAGCCGCGGUAAUACGGAAGGUCCGGGCGUUAUCCGGAUUUAUUGGGUUUAAAGGGAGCGUAGGCCGGGGAUUAAGUGUGUUGUGAAAUGUAGGCGCUCAACGUCUGAUGUGCAGCGCAUACUGGUCCCCUUGAGUACGCGCAACGCCGGCGGAAUUCGUCGUGUAGCGGUGAAAUGCUUAGAUAUGACGAAGAACCCCGAUUGCGAAGGCAGCCGGCGGGAGCGCAACUGACGCUGAAGCUCGAAGGUGCGGGUAUCGAACAGGAUUAGAUACCCUGGUAGUCCGCACGGUAAACGAUGGAUGCCCGCUCUCGGCGCCUGGCGCCGGGGGCCAAGCGAAAGCGUUAAGCAUCCCACCUGGGGAGUACGCCGGCAACGGUGAAACUCAAAGGAAUUGACGGGGGCCCGCACAAGCGG
rnacentral:rRNA from 1 species